CCGCGGGAUUAGAGUUUGAUCCUGGCUCAGAAUCAACGCUGGCGGCGUGCCUAACACAUGCAAGUCGAACGAGAAAGUGGAGCAAUCCAUGAGUAAAGUGGCGCACGGGUGAGUAACACGUGACUAACCUACCCUUGAGUGGGGAAUAACUUCGGGAAACCGAGGCUAAUACCGCAUAACACCUACGGGUCAAAGGAGCAAUUCGCUUAAGGAGGGGGUCGCGGCAGAUUAGUUAGUUGGCAGGGUAAUGGCCUACCAAGACGGUGAUCUGUAUCCGGCCUGAGAGGGCGCACGGACACACUGGAACUGAAACACGGUCCAGACUCCUACGGGAGGCAGCAGUGGGGAAUUUUGCGCAAUGGGGGAAACCCUGACGCAGCAACGCCGCGUGGAGGAUGAAGUCCCUUGGGACGUAAACUCCUUUCGAUCGGGACGAUUAUGACGGUACCGGAAGAAGAAGCCCCGGCUAACUUCGUGCCAGCAGCCGCGGUAAUACGAGGGGGGCGAGCGUUGUUCGGAAUUAUUGGGCGUAAAGGGCGCGUAGGCGGUCGGAUAAGUCUUGUGUGAAAUCUUCGGGCUCAACUCGAAGUCUGCACAGGAAACUAUCUGGCUUGAGUGUGGGAGAGGUGAGUGGAAUUCCUGGUGUAGCGGUGAAAUGCGUAGAUAUCAGGAGGAACACCUGUGGCGAAAGCGGCUCACUGGACCACAACUGACGCUGAGGCGCGAAAGCUAGGGGAGCAAACAGGAUUAGAUACCCUGGUAGUCCUAGCCCUAAACGAUGAUCGCUUGGUGUGACGGGUACCCAAUCCCGCCGUGCCGAAGCUAACGCGUUAAGCGAUCCGCCUGGGGAGUACGGUCGCAAGGCUGAAACUCAAGGAAUUGAC
rnacentral:rRNA from 1 species